UACGUAGGGUGCGAGCGUUUGUCCGGAAUUAUUGGGCGUAAAGAGCUCGUAGGCGGUCUGUCGCGUCGGUCGUGAAAACUUGGGGCUUAACCCUGAGCUUGCGGUCGAUACGGGCAUGACUGGAGUUCGGCAGGGGAGACUGGAAUUCCUGGUGUAGCAGUGAAAUGCGUAGAUAUCAGGAGGAAUACCGAUGGCGAAGGCAGGUCUCUGGGCUGACACUGACGCUCAUGCACGAAAGCGUGGG
rnacentral:rRNA from 1 species